rnacentral:rRNA from 1 species
CGAGCGGACCGACGGGAGCUUGCUCCCUUAGGUCAGCGGCGGACGGGUGAGUAACACGUGGGUAACCUGCCUGUAAGACUGGGAUAACUCCGGGAAACCGGGGCUAAUACCGGAUGCUUGAUUGAACCGCAUGGUUCAAUCAUAAAAGGUGGCUUUUAGCUACCACUUGCAGAUGGACCCGCGGCGCAUUAGCUAGUUGGUGAGGUAACGGCUCACCAAGGCGACGAUGCGUAGCCGACCUGAGAGGGUGAUCGGCCACACUGGGACUGAGACACGGCCCAGACUCCUACGGGAGGCAGCAGUAGGGAAUCUUCCGCAAUGGACGAAAGUCUGACGGAGCAACGCCGCGUGAGUGAUGAAGGUUUUCGGAUCGUAAAACUCUGUUGUUAGGGAAGAACAAGUACCGUUCGAAUAGGGCGGCACCUUGACGGUACCUAACCAGAAAGCCACGGCUAACUACGUGCCAGCAGCCGCGGUAAUACGUAGGUGGCAAGCGUUGUCCGGAAUUAUUGGGCGUAAAGCGCGCGCAGGCGGUUUCUUAAGUCUGAUGUGAAAGCCCCCGGCUCAACCGGGGAGGGUCAUUGGAAACUGGGGAACUUGAGUGCAGAAGAGGAGAGUGGAAUUCCACGUGUAGCGGUGAAAUGCGUAGAGAUGUGGAGGAACACCAGUGGCGAAGGCGACUCUCUGGUCUGUAACUGACGCUGAGGCGCGAAAGCGUGGGGAGCGAACAGGAUUAGAUACCCUGGUAGUCCACGCCGUAAACGAUGAGUGCUAAGUGUUAGAGGGUUUCCGCCCUUUAGUGCUGCAGCAAACGCAUUAAGCACUCCGCCUGGGGAGUACGGUCGCAAGACUGAAACUCAAAGGAAUUGACGGGGGCCCGCACAAGCGGUGGAGCAUGUGGUUUAAUUCGAAGCAACGCGAAGAACCUUACCAGGUCUUGACAUCCUCUGACAACCCUAGAGAUAGGGCU